rnacentral:rRNA from 1 species
UAGGGAAUCUUCCGCAAUGGACGAAAGUCUGACGGAGCAACGCCGCGUGAGUGAAGAAGGCUUUCGGUUCGUAAAACUCUGUUGUUAGGGAAGAAAAAAUGUAUAGUAACUAUAUACAAAAGAGACGGUACCUAACCAGAAAGCCACGGCUAACUACGUGCCAGCAGCCGCGGUAAUACGUAGGUCGCAAGCGUUGUCCGGAAUUAUUGGGCGUAAAGCGCGCGCAGGUGGUUUAGAAAGUCUGAUGUGAAAGCCCACGGCUCAACCGUGGAGGGUCAUUGGAAACUAAUAAACUUGAGUGCAGGAGAGAAAAGUGGAAUUCCUAGUGUAGCGGUGAAAUGCGUAGAGAUUAGGAGGAACACCGGUGGCGAAAGCGGCUUUUUGGCCUGCAACUGACACUGAGGCGCGAAAGCGUGGGGAGCAAACAGG